UCAUCAUCUAAGUCACAACAAUAGACAAUCACAGUCUGCUUAAACUAAUAACACACAAAGAAUGAAAUGUUGUCAUGUUUUUAUUGAACACACCAGGUAAACAUUCACAGUGCAGGUGGAAAAAGUUUGUGAACCCUUGGAUUUAAUAACUGGUUGAACCUCCUUUGGCAGCAAUAACUUCAACCAAACGUUUCCUGUAGUUGCAGAUCAGACGUGCACAAUGGUCAGGAGUAAUUCUUGUGCAGAAAUCCAUAUCAUUCCAAAGGGUUCACAUACUUUUUCUUGCAACUGUAUAUACACGUUUUCUC